AACUAACGCUGGCGGCGUGCCUAACACAUGCAAGUCGUACGAGAAAGCCGGCUUCGGCUGGUGAGUAAAGUGGCGCACGGGUGAGUAACGCGUGGAUAAUCUGCCCUUAAGUGUGGAAUAACGUACCGAAAGGUGCGCUAAUACCGCAUAAUGCCUGGCAACACAAGUUGUCCGGCCAAAGAAGGCCUCUGUUUACAAGCUUUCGCUUCAGGAUGAGUCCGCGUACCAUUAGCUUGUUGGUGGGGUAAUGGCCUACCAAGGCUGCGAUGGUUAGCUGGUCUGAGAGGAUGAUCCGCCACACUGGGACUGAGACACGGCCCAGACUCCUACGGGAGGCAGCAGUGGGGAAUUUUGGACAAUGGGGGCAACCCUGAUCCAGCCAUGCCGCGUGAGUGAAGAAGGCCUCGGUUGUAAGCUCUUUCUAGACGGAAAGAAAACGACAUCGGUGAAUACCGGUCGUGGAGUGACGGUACCGGAAGAAUAAGACACCGGCUAACUUCGUGUCC
rnacentral:rRNA from 1 species